AUACCCUUUUGAACAACGAGAUCUGAAAUGCUAAGGAUAAAGCAGCCAUCUGCUGGCCAUGAGAAGAGAGGCAAUAGGAAAAAAAAAACUACAUUCUAAAGAUGAAGCUGUGUUACCUGUAAUCUCUAGUACUGCUCUGCCCCCUUGUGCUGCUGCAGUGAACUCGACAGAGGAACAGUGUGCCUUCGUCUCUGUACAUGAACUACAGAAAAACCCCACUGUCACUUCUCACUUUUCUGCUGUAUUACAGGAACCGUUACAUAAACGGAGAAAGUGAAAAUCAAUCCUAGCUGACAGUGACUUCGGGAUAAUCAGCGCUCACUGGAUGCCUCUGUCAGUUCGCCUGCAUCAAACACCGUGUGACUUCUGUCAGAUCUUUUUAAUAAAACUAUAUUCUCACUUUCAGCAACCUAA
rnacentral:lncRNA from 10 species